rnacentral:rRNA from 1 species
UACGUAGGGGGCAAGCGUUGUCCGGAAUCAUUGGGCGUAAAGCGCGUGUAGGCGGCUCGAUAAGUCUGCUGUGAAAGUUCAGGGCUCAACCCUGAAAUGCCGGUGGAAACUGUCGGGCUAGAGUCCGGAAGAGGCGAGUGGAAUUCCUGGUGUAGCGGUGAAAUGCGCAGAUAUCAGGAGGAACACCAAUGGCGAAGGCAGCUCGCUGGGACGGUACUGACGCUGAGACGCGAAAGCGUGGGGAGCAAGCAGG